GCCAGAAACUGGGAAAAGGGACGCGCCCGUUCCUGCGUACUGAACGCGUGUCCGUGUCGGAUACAUAUCCGACAUGGACACGCCGGCCAUUUUGCCGUGUCCGUGCUUCUCAGGUUUGAGGCCUUCGUUCAGGACCAAACAAGGGAAAAACCUUCGAGGCAUAAGAUAUUUUAUUCCUACUGUAGUGCCUCGGUUCACUUUUUGAAUUAUGUGUAAUUAGCUUGAUAAUGCCAAUUAGAAACAUUAUUUUGAUUACUUGCACCACUGCAUACCAUUGUUGUUGUCUUGUAUUUUGUGCCCUAAGUUAUGUUAUUGGGACGUAAAUGUCUGAACAAGACCCAAACACUAGUGCAAGUAUAUUGUUAAUUAUUUUGAUGAUUGUAUAUGAUUAUUUUGUAGAUUUUAUGUUGA